rnacentral:rRNA from 1 species
GACGAACGCUGGCGGCGUGCCUAAUACAUGCAAGUCGAGCGAAGUUUUUCUGGUGCUUGCACUAGAAAAACUUAGCGGCGAACGGGUGAGUAACACGUAAAGAACCUGCCUCAUAGACUGGGACAACUAUUGGAAACGAUAGCUAAUACCGGAUAACAGCAUUAACUGCAUGGUUGAUGUUUAAAAGUUGGUUAUGCUAACACUAUGAGAUGGCUUUGCGGUGCAUUAGCUAGUUGGUGGGGUAAAGGCCUACCAAGGCGACGAUGCAUAGCCGACCUGAGAGGGUGAUUGGCCACACUGGGACUGAGACACGGCCCAGACUCCUACGGGAGGCAGCAGUAGGGAAUCUUCCGCAAUGGGCGAAAGCCUGACGGAGCAACGCCGCGUGAGUGAAGAAGGAUUUCGGUUCGUAAAGCUCUGUUGUUAGGGAAGAAUGAUUGUGUAGUAACUAUACACAGUAGAGACGGUACCUAACCAGAAAGCC